rnacentral:rRNA from 1 species
GCCAGCCCGCUCAGAAACUCAAAGGAAGUUGACGGGGCCCGGCACAAGCGGAGGAACAUGUGGUUUAAUUCGAUGAUACGCGAGGAACCUUACCUGGGCCAGAACGCAAUCGGAAUCAGGCCGAAAGGUCUGCGCCAGCGAUGGCCGCUUGCGAGGUGCUGCAUGGUUGUCGUCAGCUCGUGCCGUGAGGUGUCGGGUUAAGUCCCAUAACGAGCGCAACCCCUACUGCUAGUUGCCAGCGGGUCAUGCCGGGGACUCUAGCGGAACUGCCAGCGUAAGCUGCGAGGAAGGUGGGGAUGACGUCAAAUCAGCACGGCCCUUACGUCCAGGGCUACACACGUGUUACAAUGGCCAGUACAGAGGGCAGCCACCCCGCGAGGGGGCGCUAAUCCUAAAAGCUGGUCCCAGUUCGGAUCGGAGUCUGCAACCCGACUCCGUGAAGCUGGAUUCGCUAGUAAUCGCGCAUCAGCCACGGCCGCGGUGAAUAACGUUACCGGGCCUU